UAUAUCUCUUCCACCCUCUAAAAUUUUGGUAUUUUUAGUUUCUCUCUCUAGGAAAAAAAGAAAAAUUUUUGGUUCGACGCAGAAUGCGACUGCCACCGACGCCAUGUUAGUACGUUUUUGACUUCCUUCUCAGAUCAAUUCAGUUUCAGCUCACUUGACAUAUCUGCUUCUCGGCAUGUCAAUGCAAAUUAUUGAUCAAUGCCCGGUAGAACCAUGCUAAUGUAGUUUUUAUUGAGAAUCUGGGAUUUGGGUGCUGAAGAGGCUUUCUUAUUACUAAUGGGUGUGGGCUAUUUAGCAAUUUCAGCAGCGUUCACAGCCCUGAGCUUCGUGGGUCUACAAUGUUGGACAGAGUUGUCGGUAGACAAACUAAAAGCAGAUGGUUUAAUUAGCGAUAAUUUUAUUAGCCAUGAGAAUGCGAACCGUGCUCUUGAGUUGCUGCUGGGUUCUUAUGCCACUGUUGCGCUGCUGGCAAAUUUUGUAUUUAAUGCAUUCAUUCUAAUCAAUCUUUGUCUUAAGACUAUUUUCUUUGUGGAAUUAUACCCUUCUGAAACUCGAAAACUUGUGGAACGUCUUAUUAAUUAUGUUAUUUACAAGGGGACAUUUCUGCCAUUGGUUAUUCCUGGAACAAUAUUUCAAGCAGGAUUGUGGUCGAUCUGGUUGACUGUUCUCUGUUCUUUAAAGAUGUUUCAAGUUUUGGCUAGAGAUCGACUUGAACGUCUGAAUGCAUCUCCUUCUGCAUUGCCAUGGACUUAUUUUCGUGUGUAUUCAGCACUGUUAUUGGUCCUCUUUGUUGACUUCUUCUGGUAGUCUCUGGAAUCUCUAUCUUUUAUUGAUAAAUGUGAUUUAGGAACUGGCAUUGCGAUUGCAUUGUUUCUGUGAUAUUAACAGUCAAACUGAAUGAGAAACACUAAACCUAAUUGUGUGAAAUGUAUGAAGGGUGUUAGUAUUUCUUCCAGAGAAAAAUAAUAUUUGGCUUUGGUAUAAACUAGAGAGUUAAUGUGUAUUUCUUUAGUAGAAACUAAAUUCUUAUUCAGCAGGUGUUAGAAACUAGAAAGCGGGAGCACUACAGAAAAUUGUUUUUAAUAAGAAAAAAGCAAGUUCUUUGUUCUUGUGUCUAUGGAAAUUGUAUCUUUCUAGAUUAGUGGUGAUGUGUACGGAUUCAAUAUAAGCAAUUGUGGUAGCUGUGAUGGGGCUGAGAAUGGAGACAGACAAUGAGAAUAGCAAGUUUAGAACUGGUUUGUUUGUUUUAAACAUCAGUCUUAAAUUCUGAGGAGCCUAAACAGGAGUUGAUCUCCUACCAGCUACAUAACUUUUUAAUUCUACAGGUCCAAAAGGGAAUGCUGCUUCACAAUCACGAAAGACUUGCAUUUUGCAGACAGGAUGGAGAUUGUUUAACUUAUUUUUCUCCUUUAAAUCUUGUUUUUAUUUUCCUGUUUUAACUGAUAUUCAAAUUUUUAAUUUCUGCAUGAAUUCAGAUAGCAAUAGCAUUAAAAAUAUUUCUUUAUGCAUGUUUUGGUGGUUACAGGAUAAGGCUGUGUUUGGUGAUAUACAGAACACUGGGUUCAUCCAUGUUUCUAUUAUUGUUUUUUGAGCCGUUCAGUAUUGCAUUUGAGACUAUGCAGGCAAUGUUGGUACAUGGGUUUCAGUUGCUUGACAUUUGGCUCCAUCAUUCUGCUGGGAAUAGUACAAAUUGCCAAAGGUUCAAAUUUUUUGAUGCAAUAGCAGCAGGUAUUUUCUGAAAUUUUUGCUAUGGUGUGUGCAAGUGAUUAUCCUGAGCUGUAUGGGGGUAGCUUGUGGCAGUUAUGUGAAAAGUGGAAAGUUCACUGAAGUGCUAAGAUCUCGUAGAGCGUAUGUCUAAAGCACAAAAUGCAGGAGUAUUCCUAGGAAAAUAAAGCGUGUAUUUUAAAGAGGCGAUGCACAGUUAUUUGCAAGAGAAACAUUAAGAAUCUGCAAUAGGAAGCUAGAAUAUAGAGGGAGGGAGGGCCUUCUACUCUGCAGUUUAUGUACUUUAGAAGUGAUCUCAUUGCUUGGUCUUCAAGGUUUUUGAGACCUUAUCCAUUAAGAUAAUUGGAAAACAUGUGUAACAUAGUGGAUGCAAUAAGAAUGUCCAAGUAGUCAACAAUUAAUUUGUAACAAAUGUUGAUCAAGAGUUAAAUGCAUUUUAUGUUCACAUCCUAAUAAAAGACGACAAAGCCUUUUUAGCUUUCACCUAGCAGGUCAGCUAAAAGCAUGUUCUAUUGUGCUUUGGAACCUCAUUUAGUACUGCAGUUUGUGUGGCCAGAUGGACUUUUGGCCCCACACACCUACAGCCACAGUUGCGAAAGCAACCUAUUUGGUAAUGCAAGUAAACCUGCACUUGGGUCUACUGGCACCUAUGACCUAUCUGCGAUUGUGCGAAUCAAUCCUGCAAUUCAAAGCUGCAUUGUGAAAGCACUGUGUUGUGGCAAGCACACCCUUGCUCCAAAUGGUGCCUAGGAUGAUUUUGACAAUGUUGGUUGAUUUGAUUGGUAGUGCUUUUUUCUUCUUCUUCUUUCUUUUAAUAAUAUUUGCCAUGCUUUUAGUGGAAUUGAUGUGCUAGCGUCUUCUGAUUAAGGAGUGCUACUGCAGGUUCUUUGUCUGAGUGGAAAAACAUUCUUAUCCGGAAUUUAGGGUUUUCCCUUGACAUGGCAACUUUGUUGAUGGCACUUGGUCAUUACAUGCAUAUUUGGUGGCUUCAUGGUGUGGCAUUUCAUCUAGUGGAUGCAGUCCUUUUUUUAAAUACACGUGUAAUCAUCUUAUUCUGCUGGUUAAAGGGACCCUUUAGCAUCCUGUGCCUGGUUAUCAUUUACUCACUACAGUUUCAUGUCCUUUCUAUUCACGGAGCCUGUAAUUUUGUGCAGGCCUUGCUUAGUACUAUCAUAAAGCGUGUAAAAGGAUAUGCCAAACUAAGAAUAGCUUUAGGUGCUCUUCAUGCAGCACUUCCAGAUGCAACAUAUGAAGAGCUACGAGCAUAUGAUGAUGAAUGUGCUAUCUGCAGGGUACACUUAGGUUUUUCCUUCCUUUCCCUUCAGUUUUUCAUUGGAUCUAUGAAAUAUAAUGCAUUGGGCAAAUAACAGGAACCUAUGGCUAAGGCAAAGAAGCUACAUUGCAGUCACAUUUUUCAUCUUGCAUGCUUGAGAUCCUGGUUGGAUCAGGGUUUAAAUGAAAUGUAUUCAUGUCCCACUUGUCGAAAGCCGCUUUUUGUAGGCAGACCUGACAAUGAAGCAAAUCGUCAUGGUGGAGACAUUUUAUCUGACGAGCAGCUUGCUCGUCAAAUAAGUGAAGAGCUUGAUCAACAAACCACAUCUACUCUAUCUGCUGGAGUUUUACCAAAUCAGACUCAUAACUCUAUAGAAGGCCGCCCCUGGAGGUUCAAAUUCUUACUUGAUAUCAGAAUAGUCUCUUUUUUCUGCUGUUGGCCAAUGUUCACGUUACCUACCAAUAAUUUCUUUUUAAGGGUUAAAUUACAUUUGGAAAAGGCUACUUUGGGUUUUGGAAAAAGUACCAUUUUAGAUUUUUCUUUCUUUUUAUUUUUUUUUUCAAUAAAAAAGCAGUUGGAAACUAUUUUUGAUAUUAUUUUGUAAAUCUUAUGGCCAAAACAUCCAAAAUGCUUUUCAAAGGUAGCUUUUAGUUGCUUUUAAUAAAAAAAUUUUGAAGAGUGUUCUUUUCGCAACAACAAUUGCAACAAAACUGAAUAGAACUAUAUCUUGGGUGUACUCCUUUGCCAGAAGAGUUGAAAACUGGUAUAUUUGGGAUAAAUAUUAUACCUAUGCCUUAGCUGUCUGACUGCUGUUAUCCAUUGGAUAUUGUUAUGUUUGACUUGAUUUUAACCAAGCGUUCCUUAAGCCUCUUCUUGUUAUGUAAAUUCCUUACAUGUACAAUGUCUAUCUGCUUAGGAUGCAGACCAAAAUAAAGAUAUGAUGCCCUUCAGAUGCCUGGAAUGUUAUCUGGUUUAAAACAACUAAACAAAUCAUUUAAUCUUUCAUCAAAUCUUUUGAUAUUAAGUGAAUGGCAAGUUCUCAUUGCAUAAAAUGUGGUUCAAAGACCAAAUACCUCUCUCAAUCUCUCUCUUUGCCCACUGGUAUGGUCGUAAUAUUGUAAUAGGUCUUUGUUUUUGGUGGGUGGUCUAUAGAAGCGCAGGUUCGGAUUCAAGU
rnacentral:misc_RNA from 1 species